rnacentral:tRNA from 1 species
AGGCCAGUAGCUCCAAUUGGUUAGAGCACGGGACUCCAAAUCCUGGGGUUGGGGGUUCGACUCCCUCCUGGCCUGCCA